rnacentral:rRNA from 1 species
CAGUCGCCGCGGUAAUACGAAGGGGGCUAGCGUUGUUCGGAAUAACUGGGCGUAAAGGGCGCGUAGGCGGAUUUUUAAGUCAGGGGUGAAAUCCCGCAGCUCAACUGCGGAACUGCCUUUGAUACUGGGUAUCUUGAGUAUGGAAGAGGUUAGUGGAAUUGCGAGUGUAGAGGUGAAAUUCGUAGAUAUUCGCAGGAACACCAGUGGCGAAGGCGGCUAACUGGUCCAUAACUGACGCUGAGGUGCGAAAGCGUGGGGAGCAAACAGGAUUAGAUACCCCCGUAGUCCCUGUCUCUUAUAC